CCCAAAACCCCGGAAUGCUACAUGGUUCCCCCUUAUCCUCUCAUUUCCCAAUAUAAAAAGAAGACAGAGUGACACUUUGAGCUUGAGCUUGUGAUUGCAAAUGUACUUUUGUCAUUUGGAGGGCAAAGCUAUUGCCCACGAUUGCCCUUCCAGAGCACUGGACCAGGAGGAGCUGCUGGUUGAAGGAACCAUGUGCACGCUGCUGACUGGACAGAUAAAUCCUGGGUGUGUGAAGAGGAAACCAGCAUCAACAUUAUGCUGACAUGUACCCUGAAGGAUGGAUUCAGAACUUUCCAGAACCUCACAGGAAGGCAACAAGGGACGUCAGAAGAGUCACUGGGAUCCCCGGUUGGACGAAGCUGCUGGUGCAGAGGGGAGGAUGGCAUCACUGGUUCCAAGUCUGGGAAUGGUCAUCACGGAGACAGCAAGUCUCGCGAGAACAACGCCUGAGACCAGUGGCUGCUGCUCCGGCUCUUGGCCCAUCUCCCUCCCUAUGGCCCUUUGGUGAACUCUCUGGGGCUCUGGAGCCAGGGAAGCUUGGACUGCAAACUCCAGCCCUGGCCCAGAUGUUGGAUCUUCGAUCUUAGUUGUGGCACACAGGAUCUUUAAUUACACCAUCCAAACGCUUAGUCACUGCAUGUAAGAUCUAGUUCCCUGACCAGGGCUCAAACCUGGGCCCCCUGCAUUAAGACCUCAGAGUCAUUGGAACCAUGAGGGAAGGCCUCAUUUAAGGAAAUUAUUGAAAGGUAUGUACUUAGGUCAUUUUGUUAAGUGUUUGGAGAUUGUUUUCUUUUGUCUCUUGUGCUUUGAAGACUACGUUUUUCUACCUUCCUUUUUUCUA
rnacentral:lncRNA from 1 species